CAAGCCUCUAUUUAUCCAGACAAAGUAAAUCUAACUCAGUAAAACUCUACUGCAACUGGAAAGCUUGAAAUCUUAGAAAGCUGGAAAGUUCAUAAUUGUGAGCUGGGGAAAGUAGUUCGCGCUCUCUUCUAGAGAGAAAGGUGCGAAAUCACAACAAGUCUGUGGAAAAAAUGUAAACUCUGAAAAGUUUAGAAAUAAAUUAAAGUGAAACCCAGCAUAGGAGAAGGUGGAGUUAAUAAUGGAGGACGAGGAGAAUUCUCAGGGUACUGAAACUCAUGUUUACAGGGUAGAGGAGUUCAAUACAGACCUUAGUUCUCCGUCUAGAUCUGGCAGUAAUAUAAACAAACAAUCCCAUAUUAUAGUUUCAUCCAACGGGAAUAUUAUUCCUGUAUCUUCUCAUGUUAUUGUUACAUCGGGGGGACAAUUUACUCUUUCAAAUAACAAAUCUAUAGAUCUCAUUGGAGAAGAGUUUGUCUCCAAGCUUAAGUCUGAACCUGAGCAGGAGGAAGAUAAAAGAUCUCCAGUAGUGAUGAGUAUUGCUUCUAUGAACACAGAAACCAACACAGUGAGUGCCGGAGGAGAGCAGAGUCAUCUUGUCUACUGUAACCUGAAUGAUCUAGAUCUCUCCGGGUCUGGAGAAACAUACAGUCUUGCUUCCCUUCACAGUCUGGCGGAGGCAAGCAGCACGGUUCAGCAGCAGGAGAGGAAUUCAUACUCUAACGUCUCUACAAUCCUUCUUCAGGGUGGAAUACUCCAGUUGAAGGGAGAGGGUGGAGGGGGACUGGUUUCUGGUUCUGGUCAAGAUCAGAUUUUAAUGACAGUCGAUUCUAAGUUUGGGAGCCCGCAAGACAGGAUGGUUCCAUCUACUCAGAUUGUUACUGUUGGAGAUAGUACACAGCACACCCGACCUCAGGAUGCUAUUGCAAGUAUUCUGGCGAGCAUGAACUCUCAGGGACUAGAGACAACUGUGAGCUCCGGGAACCCUGUAGAUUACAGCACAGCUGUUUCCGAGGUUGAUGAGGUCGUUACCCUGGAUCAACAACAUUUCGAGGACAGGAGGGAGGUCCUUCCCCUCAACCUCGCUACUACUAGUCCGUCGCAGGGAACUUUUAUUCAAACAUCACAAGGACUUCAGUUACACGGGAUAAAGAAGAUCGGACAGUCGACACCUGGAGGUCUAGUCACCAAAAAAGUAAUCAUCGCAACUAUAAAUGGGACCCAAAGAAUACUAACCCCUGUCUCAAGUCCGCAGAUUAUAUCUAUGAAACCCACUUCUCGAUUCUUGUCGGAUGGAACACUAGUGAACGGUUCGAGUCCUAUCAUGAUUCAGAAACCAGGUUUACAGUUUCACAAACCUAAACAGUAUAGUCCUCCCAUCCUAUCCUCCAGAUCUACAGACAAUAAAACAUGCUUGUGGAAAUUCGAGAACGGACAGGUGUGUGGAAAAGUAUUUACGAAAACCUACAACCUAACAGUGCACAUGAGAAUGCACCAGGAUAUCAGGCCUUUCCCGUGUUCGAUCUGUGAACAAACAUUUAGACAAAAGGCACACUUGCAACGCCACGAGGCAACUCAUGGUAUUGAUUCUACGGCUAACAGAAAAAGACGAAAGCGUCCAAUGAUAGACGAUUUUAACGAUAUAAACAGAAGAGCAGAUAAUGAAAGUGACGAAGAUAUGUAUCGGUCUUUUGGUGAGGUUAAACGGAAGUUUUCCGUCGGAACCAUGAAGAAUGAGGAGGAGGAGGAGGAUGAGAUGGAUGUUGAUCCAAUGAUUGAACCCAUCGACGGAUCUCAGAUUGAAAGGAAGCAGGUCUGCCCGGUGAAUGUCGGAACAAACACCGAGGUGACACGGCAUGAUGUAUCUGAUGAGAUAGAGGAGAGUAAUCUAGAACCUGUUAGAUACCGACCCAACCCGGCCAGUCGGGGAGUAGAACAAGGAGUUCAGUAUAGUGAGGAGGAUCUUAUUUUACCAGACUCAGGAUACCAGGAGAUGGAGAUGAAGUACUCUAGAUCUGAAGAGACUCUAGAGAAACAGGAGAUUCGUUAUAUCCAUCCUUCUAAAUCUGUUUUGAAAACGGAGGACGGAGUUGUGGAGGUCGGAGAGGACGAGGUCUAUUCUAGUCAACAGGUUUACUCAGUUCAACAAGGAGAGCUUGAAGAAACCCAGCUCAUCACACAAACCUCAGACGGAUCCUACAUAGAUACUUCAGGGAACCAGAUAGUGAUGUCCCAGGAUGGAGAACUCGUCGGUUUUGUUCCUGUUGAGGGGGAUCAGAGUCAGGUUGUAAAUAUCAGCACAACCACAAACGAGCACGGGCAGCAGGUUGUGAUCAUUGAGAACCUUCAUCAUCAUAGUCCUGAGCUACAGAGGGAGAUCAUGAACGCUCUUAUUUCAGACAGUAGUCUUGUUCCUCUCACUAAUUCAUAAACAGAUCUGAGUUCUCUCACAUAGUUAUUUAUUUCGACUCUAGAGUUGAACUAUUAGACCCAAUCUAAAAAUGAAUUAAAGAACAUUUGAUGAAUUCAAAGUGUUUAGAAGCUAAACCAAGAAAUCUAUGUUUUACAUUUUUGCCAAAUUGACUGAUUUAAAGUGACAUUGUUUUGUUUUGUUAAUUCAAGUCCUAGAACAAUUGUUAAGGUAUUAUGUAACCCUGUAUAUUUACUAAUUUAAAAAAGGGUCUCUCUUACUUAACGCUAGUUUCGCCUUUAUGGACGUGCGUCCAGCAUGCCUAGAAAAUUAUUAUAUGUUCAAAAUAUAUUUAAUAUUAUGAAAUCAUAAAAA
rnacentral:misc_RNA from 1 species